rnacentral:rRNA from 1 species
CGCAUCUGUGCAUGCAGCAUAUCAAUAAGCGGAGGAAAAGAAACUAACAAGGAUUCCCCUAGUAACGGCGAGUGAAGCGGGAAGAGCUCAAAUUUGAAAUCUUAAAGGGUUUCCCUUUACGAAUUGUAGUUUAAAGAAGUGUUUUCUGUUGAGGUUUUGGUAAAAGUUCUUUGGAAUAGGACAUCAUAGAGGGUGAGAAUCCCGUAUUUGACCUUUACUUUCAACUUUGUGAUACACUUUCAAAGAGUCGGAUUGUUUGGGAAUGCAGUCCAAAAUGGGUGGUAAAUUUCAUCUAAAGCUAAGUAUUGGCGAGAGACCGAUAGCGAACAAGUACCGUGAGGGAAAGAUGAAAAGAACUUUGAAAAGAGAGUUAAACAGUACGUGAAAUUGUCAAAAGGGAAGCGUUUGACACCAGUGUUGUUUUUCUGAAAAUCAAUUAAAGAACUGUUUAUGCUAAGUUGUUUAGACUUUAUCAGCUAUCUGUUUAGUUUUGAGCUUUUCUUUAAUGCACUUUUCAGCUAACAAGUCAACAUCAAUUUCUUUUGCUGUAAAAAAGCUUGAGGAAGGUGGCUUGAGAUUCGUCUUAAGUGUUUAUAGCCUCUUGCCUAUGCAGUCGGAGAGAUUGAGGUCUGCAGCGUAGAUCCUUCGGGGCUAAAUGCAUUUGUGCUAAGUUAUAGCAUUUUAUAGACAACUUGUUGACUAUGAUUUGUCUUGUAGCUUACUCGCUUAUGUUAUUUUACCUACGCUUAGGAUGUUGAACGCGCACAGAGUCUC